GAGAGGGCAGUGGGGAGAGAAAGGAAUGACUUUUAGGAAAGAUAAAUGGGCCCUUAGGAGAAUAGAUGGAAGGUAUGAUAGUUU